GACGAACGCUGGCGGCGUGCCUAAUACAUGCAAGUAGAACGCACAGUUUAUACCGUAGCUUGCUACACCAUAGACUGUGAGUUGCGAACGGGUGAGUAGCGCGUAGGUAACCUGCCUGGUAGCGGGGGAUAACUAUUGGAAACGAUAGCUAAUACCGCAUAAUAUUGAUUAUUGCAUGAUAAUUGAUUGAAAGAUGCUAUUGCAUCACUACCAGAUGGACCUGCGUUGUAUUAGCUAGUAGGUGAGGUAACGGCUCACCUAGGCGACGAUACAUAGCCGACCUGAGAGGGUGAUCGGCCACACUGGGACUGAGACACGGCCCAGACUCCUACGGGAGGCAGCAGUAGGGAAUCUUCGGCAAUGGACGAAAGUCUGACCGAGCAACGCCGCGUGAGUGAAGAAGGGUUUCGGAUCGUAAAGCUCUGUUGUAAGAGAAGAACGGGUGUGAGAGUGGAAAGUUCACACUGUGACGGUAGCUUACCAGAAAGGGACGGCUAACUACGUG
rnacentral:rRNA from 1 species